GAGUUUGAUCAUGGCUCAGAUCGAACGCUGGCGGCAGGCCUAACACAUGCAAGUCGAGCGCGAAAGUUCUUCGGAAUGAGUAAAGCGGCGAACGGGUGAGUAACGCGUGGGAAUCUGCCCAGUAGUGGGGGACAACGUUCCGAAGGAACGCUAAUACCGCAUACGCCCUACGGGGGAAAGGGGGGGAUCUUCGGACCUCUCGCUAUUGGAUGAGCCCGCGUCGGAUUAGCUAGUUGGAAGGGUAAAGGCCUACCAAGGCGACGAUCCGUAACUGGUCUGAGAGGAUGAUCAGUCACACUGGAACUGAGACACGGUCCAGACUCCUACGGGAGGCAGCAGUGGGGAAUAUUGGACAAUGGGGGCAACCCUGAUCCAGCCAUGCCGCGUGUGUGAAGAAGGCCUUCGGGUUGUAAAGCACUUUCAGUGGGGAGAAAGGUUCGAUACUUAAUACGUAUCGGGAUUGAUGUUACCCACAGAAGAAGCACCGGCUAACUCCGUGCCAGCAGCCGCGGUAAUACGGAGGGUGCAAGCGUUAAUCGGAAUUACUGGGCGUAAAGCGCACGUAGGCGGUUAGUUAAGCUAGCUGUGAAAUCCCCGGGCUCAACCUGGGAAUUGCAGUUAGAAC
rnacentral:rRNA from 1 species